rnacentral:rRNA from 1 species
GACGAACGCUGGCGGCGUGCCUAAUACAUGCAAGUCGAACGCAGUGGGGACGGGUGAGUAACCCGUGGGUAACCUCCCAUCAGAGGGGAUAACACUUUGAAACAGGUGCUAAACCGAUACUGAUGGAUGGACCCGCGGUGCCUUAGCUAGUUGGUGAGGUAACGGCUCACAAAGGCCACGAUGCAUAGCGGACCUGAGAGGAUGAUCAGCCAAACUGGAACUGAGACACGGCCCAGACUCCUACGGGAGGCAGCAGUGGGGAAUCUUGGGCAAUGGGCGAAAGUCUGACCGAGCAACGCCGCGUGAGUGAAGAAGGUUUUCGGAUCGUAAAGCUCUGUUGGUAGAGAAGCGGUAUCAAAAGAGAAAGCCACGGCUAACUACGUGCCAGCAGCCGCGGUAAUAC